UGGCAGCACCGGUGUAACCCACAGGC
rnacentral:piRNA from 1 species